rnacentral:rRNA from 1 species
GACGAAGGGGGCUAGCGUUGUUCGGAAUUACUGGGCGUAAAGCGCGUGUAGGCGGUUGUUCAAGUCGGGUGUGAAAGCCUUGAGCUCAACUCAAGAAAUGCACUCGAUACUGGAUGACUUGAGGACCGGAGAGGAUAGUGGAAUUCCCAGUGUAGUGGUGAAAUACGUAGAGAUUGGGAAGAACACCAGUGGCGAAGGCGGCUAUCUGGACGGUUUCUGACGCUAAGACGCAAAAGCGUGGGGAGCAAACAGG